rnacentral:rRNA from 1 species
GACGAACGCUGGCGGCGUGCCUAAUACAUGCAAGUCGAACGGUCUUUUCUAUGGAAGCUUGCUUCCACUGAGAAGAUAGUGGCGAACGGGUGAGUAACACGUGGGUAACCUGCCCAUAAGAGGGGGAUAACAUCCGGAAACGGGUGCUAAUACCGCAUAGUUUUCUUGAUCGCAUGAUCGAGAAAGGAAAGACGGCCUUUGUGCUGUCGCUUAUGGAUGGACCCGCGGCGUAUUAGUUAGUUGGUGAGGUAACGGCUCACCAAGACGAUGAUGCGUAGCCGACAUGAGAGGGUGAUCGGCCACAUUGGGACUGAGACACGGCCCAAACUCCUACGGGAGGCAGCAGUAGGGAAUCUUCCGCAAUGGACGAAAGUCUGACGGAGCAACGCCGCGUGAGUGAAGAAGGUUUUCGGAUCGUAAAACUCUGUUGUCAGAGAAGAACAAGUCGGAGAGUAACUGCUCCGGCCUUGACGGUAUCUGACCAGAAAGCCACGGCUAACUACGUGCCAGCCGCCGCAGUAAUAC